AUUGCUUCUCAGCCUUUUGGCUAAGAUUAAGUGUA
rnacentral:snRNA from 1 species